UGAAUUCAAAUGGAGUUGUUCUUGUUGAAUUCUUUGCUCCAUGGUGUGGUCAUUGUAAGGCUCUAACUCCUACAUGGGAGAAGGCAGCUACUGUCUUAAAGGGUGUAGCUACUGUGGCAGCACUUGAUGCUGAUGCUCACCAGUCAUUGGCUCAGGAAUAAGGGGUAAGAGGAUUUCCAACCAUAAAGGUGUUUGCACCUGGGAAGCCACCUGUUGAUUACCAAGGAGCUAGAGAUGUCAAACCAAUUGCUGAAUUCGCUCUUCAACAGUUAAAGACUCUAUUGAAAGAACGUUUAAAUGGAAAAGCAACUGGGGAAUCAAAUAAAAAGUCAGAACCCAGUGCUUCAGUAGAAUUAAACUCUAGCAACUUUGAUGAAUUGGUUCUCAAAAGCAGAGAACUUUGGAUUGUAGAAUUUUUCGCAC